AGUCGAACGGGGGCUUCGGCCCCAGUGGCGAACGGUCGCGUAACACGUAAGCAACCUGCCCUGAAGUGGGGGACAACAUUCCGAAAGGGGUGCUAAUACCGCAUGUGGUCACGAGUCGGCAUCGACUUGUGUCUAAAGAUUUAUCGCUUCAGGAUGGGCUUGCGGCCUAUCAGGUAGUUGGUGGGGUAAUGGCCUACCAAGCCGACGACGGGUAGCUGGUCUGAGAGGACGAUCAGCCGGAUUGGGACUGAGAUACGGCCCAGACUCCUACGGGGGGCAGCAAUUAGGAAUCUUGCGCAAUGGGGGCAACCCUGACGCAGCGACGUCGCGUGAAGGAUGAAGGCCCUCGGGUCGUAAACUUCUUUUGAGUGGGAAGAAAUUUGACGGUACCACUCGAAUAAGCCCCGGCUAACUACGUGCCAGCAGCCGCGGUAAUACGUAGGGGGCGAGCGUUGUCCGAAGUUACUGGGCGUAAAGCGCGCGUAGGCGGUUAUUUAAGUCUGGGGUGAAAGGUUCAGCGCUCAACGUGAACAGUGCCUUGGAUACUGGAUGACUUGAGUCUGGGAGGGGGAAGGGGAAUUCCUGGUGUAGCGGUGAAAUGCGUAGAUAUCAGGAGGAACACCGGUGGCGAAGGCGCCUUCCUGGCCUAAGACUGACGCUGAGGUGCGAAAGCGUGGGGAGCAAACGGGAUUAGAUACCCCGGUAGUCCACGCCGUAAACAAUGAGUGCUAGGUGUCGGGGGUAUCGACCCCCCCGGUGCCGUC
rnacentral:rRNA from 1 species